rnacentral:rRNA from 1 species
AUUGAACGCUGGCGGAAUGCUUUACACAUGCAAGUCGAACGGCAGCACGGACUUCGGUCUGGUGGCGAGUGGCGAACGGGUGAGUAAUACAUCGGAACGUGCCCAAUCGUGGGGGAUAACGUAGCGAAAGCUACGCUAAUACCGCAUACGAUCUAAGGAUGAAAGCGGGGGAUCGCAAGACCUCGCGCGAAUGGAGCGGCCGAUGGCAGAUUAGGUAGUUGGUAGGGUAAAGGCCUACCAGCCGACGAUCUGUAGCUGGUCUGAGAGGAUGAUCAGCCACACUGGGACUGAGACACGGCCCAGACUCCUACGGGAGGCAGCAGUGGGGAAUUUUGGACAAUGGACGCAAGUCUGAUCCAGCCAUUCCGCGUGCAGGAUGAAGGCCCUCGGGUUGUAAACUGCUUUUGUACAGAACGAAAAGGCUCUGGUUAAUACCUAGGGCUCAUGACGGUACUGUAAGAAUAAGCACCGGCUAACUACGUGCCAGCCGCCGCGGUAA